AGCAGCCGCGGUAAUUCCAGCUCCAAUAGCGUAUAUUAAAGUUGCUGCAGUUAAAAGCUCGUAGUUGAAUUUCGGGAUCAAUAUGUUGGUCGUGCCUCGGUACGUACUAGCUUAUUGGUUUCUCCCUUCUGACGAACCAUGAUGUCAUUUAUUUGGUGUUAUGGGAAAUCAGGACUGUUACUUUGAAAAAUUAGAGUGUUUAAAGCAGGCUCACGCUUGAAUACAUUAGCAUGGAAUAAUGAAAUAGGACGUUUGAUUCUAUUUUGUUGGUUUCUAGGAUCGACGUAAUGAUUAAUAGGGAUAGUUGGGGGCAUUAGUAUUCAAUUGUCAGAGGUGAAAUUCUUGGAUUUAUUGAAGACUAACUACUGCGAAAGCAUUUGCCAAGGAUGUUUUCAUUAAUCAAGAACGAAAGUUAGGGAUCGAAGACGAUCAGAUACCGUCGUAGUCUUAACCAUAAACUAUGCGACUAGGGAUCGGAUGAUG
rnacentral:misc_RNA from 1 species